AUUGAACGCUGGCGGCAGGCCUAACACAUGCAAGUCGGACGGUAGCACAGAGGAGCUUGCUCCUCGGGUGACGAGUGGCGUACGGGUGAGUAAUGUCUGGGGAUCUGCCCGAUAGAGGGGGAUAACCACUGGAAACGGUGGCUAAUACCGCAUAACGUCGCAAGACCAAAGAGGGGGACCUUCAGGCCUCUCACUAUCGGAUGAACCCAGAUGGGAUUAGCUAGUAGGCGGGGUAACGGCCCACCUAGGCGACGAUCCCUAGCUGGUCUGAGAGGAUGACCAGCCACACUGGAACUGAGACACGGUCCAGACUCCUACGGGAGGCAGCAGUGGGGAAUAUUGCACAAUGAGCGAAAGCCUGAUGCAGCCAUGCCGCGUGUAUGAAGAAGGCCUUCGGGUUGUAAAGUACUUUCAGCGGGGAGGAAGGCGAUGUGGUUAAUAACCGCAUUGAUUGACGUUACCCGCAGAAGAAGCACCGGCUAACUCCGUGCCAGCCGCCGCGGUAA
rnacentral:rRNA from 1 species